UCAUAUUUGCACAGCUCUGCCCUUUACCCAAUAAACUGGUUGACCUGACCUUGUUAUAUGUCUUUUCCCCAGCUCUUUAUGCCACCAGCUGACCUGAUCUGCUGACAAGCCUGCCUUCCCUUGGACUACCAGGAGGUUCAACACCCCUUCCGGAGCAUCUGGGAUGAACCAUUAGCAGAAUUUUAACAUGCAACUGUUUGGAACUCAGUUUGACAGAGGUAUUUCUGGCCUCCCACCAAUCUCGUAUCUUGGGAAAUCUAUGGACAGGUUCUGAAGACAGUCUUCAUCUUAAGCAAGCCUCCAGAAGUUUGGAAGAUCUUGUGUUUCAGCUGUGAUCUCUGAGAUGAGGUUAAGAUAGCUUCAUGCUACGAGUUGGCCUCCAUUUGAUGUGAACACUGAGAAGCUGCUGCAGGCUACCACUGAUUGGAAUUUACUUGUAUUAGUCUUAAUUGCAUGCUCUACCAUCAUCUGUUUGCAAUCACAAAGAGGAAGCUUCUGAAGCUUGGGAAUGAGAGAAAAUGAAGUGUCUUGACAACUACAAAACACUGAGGAUGCUUUUGGAGCUCUUCCCAUCACUGUUUCCAUCAGUUCCUCUCCUCUGAAGACAGAGUACCAUUAAGGAGCAGUUUGAGAUAACCAAUAUGAACCAGAAGAGCACAAAGACAUCCUGAUGGCUGCCAGAACACAAGCAGUAGCUCUUGGCCUAGAAGACAAACUGCCUUCCAGUCUUACUGUGGCUGAUAUAUCGUGCUUGGGAAGCAGAGACAUGAUGGCCUCCAAGGAUGGCAGCCAGCAGGAAACCCAAGGUUGGACCUGCAGUGAUGCAGCACACCAAAAGGGGCUGGAUUGCAACAUUACUGAAACGAGAAGCCUGAACACUACAGGAAUUUCUACACUAUGGAAAAAUGUUAUUUUUGGACUCUCCAGGAAGGCGUGCAUAUAAAACCACUGGU